rnacentral:rRNA from 1 species
AACAAAGGCUGGCGGCAGGCCUAACACGUGCAAGUCGAGCGCCCCGGGGGGGGAGGGGCGGACGGGUGAGUAACACGUGGGAACCUUCCCUAUAGUACGGAAUAGCCCAGGGAAACUUGGAGUAAUACCGUAUACGCCCGAAAGGGGAAAGAUUUAUCGCUAUAGGAUGGGCCCGCGUAGGAUUAGCUAGUUGGUGAGGUAACGGCUCACCAAGGCGACGAUCCUUAGCUGGUUUGAGAGAACGACCAGCCACACUGGGACUGAGACACGGCCCAGACUCCUACGGGAGGCAGCAGUGGGGAAUAUUGGACAAUGGGCGAAAGCCUGAUCCAGCCAUGCCGCGUGAGUGAUGAAGGUCUUAGGGUUGUAAAGCUCUUUUGCCGGGGACGAUAAUGACGGUACCCGGAGAAUAAGUCCCGGCUAACUUCGUG